UUUUUGGUACAUUGAAUUUGC
rnacentral:miRNA from 1 species